rnacentral:rRNA from 1 species
AUUGAACGCUGGCGGCAUGCUUUACACAUGCAAGUCGAACGGCAACACGGGGGCAACCCUGGUGGCGAGUGGCGAACGGGUGAGUAAUACAUAGGAACGUAUCCUGAAAUGGGGGAUAGCUCGGCGAAAGCCGGAUUAAUACCGCAUACGAUCUACGGAUGAAAGCAGGGGAUUCGCAAGAACCUUGCGUUUCUGGAGCGGCCUAUGUCUGAUUAGCUAGUUGGCGGGGAAAANCCCACCAAGGCGACGAUCAGUAGCUGGUCUGAGAGGAUGAUCAGCCACACUGGGACUGAGACACGGCCCAGACUCCUACGGAGGCAGCAGUGGGGAAUUUUGGACAAUGGGGGCAACCCUGAUCCAGCCAUGCCGCGUGAGUGAAGAAGG